rnacentral:rRNA from 1 species
UACCAGCUCUUCGAGUGGUGUGGAUGUUUAUUGGGCCUAAAGCAUCCGUAGCUGGCUGGGCAAGUCCCCUGUUAAAUCCACCGAUUUAAUCGUUGGAGUGCGGGGGAUACUGUUCGGCUAGGGGACGGGAGAGGCAGACGGUAUUUUCGGGGUAGGGGUGAAAUCCUAUAAUCCCGGGAAGACCACCAGUGGCGAAGGCUGUCUGCUAGAACGCGCCCGACGGUGAGGGAUGAAAGCUGGGGGAGCGAACCGGAUUAGAUACCCGGGUAGUCCCAGCUGUAAACGAUGCAGGCUAGGUGUUUGGGCGGCCACGUGCCGCUCUAGUGCCGCAGGGAAGCCGUUAAGCCUGCCGCCUGGGGAGUACGGCCGCAAGGCUGAAACUUAAGGAAUUGGCGGGGAGCACACAAGGGGUGAAGCUUGCGGUUU